UACGGAGGUGGCGAGCGUUGUCCGAGGUUACUGGGCGUAAAGCGCGCGUAGGCGGGGGAUUAAGUGAGAAGUGAAAGGCUGGGGCUCAACUCCAUGCAGUGCUUCUCAUACUGGUCUUCUUGAGGGGGGUAGAGAGAAGUGGAAUGGCUGGUGUAGCGGUGAAAUGCGUAGAUAUCAGGAGGAACACCUGUGGCGAAAGCGGCUCACUGGACCAUAACUGACGCUGAUGCACGAAAGCUAGGGGAGCAAACAGG
rnacentral:rRNA from 1 species